rnacentral:rRNA from 1 species
UACAGAGGGUGCGAGCGUUAAUCGGAAUUACUGGGCGUAAAGCGUGCGCAGGCGGUUUGCUAAGACAGGUGUGAAAUCCCCCGGGCUUAACCUGGGAACUGCGCUUGUAACUGGCAAGCUGGAGUGUGGCAGAGGGGGGUGGAAUUCCACGUGUAGCAGUGAAAUGCGUAGAGAUGUGGAGGGAACACCGAUGGCGAAGGCAGCCCCCUGGGCUAACACUGACGCUCAUGCACGAAAGCGUGGGGAGCAAACAGG